CAACCCUCAAGCCCCCGGGCUUGGUGUUGGAGAUCGGCGUGCCCUCCGGGGCGCGCCGGCUCCCAAAUAUAGUGGCGGUCUCGCUGUAGCUUCCUCUGCGUAGUAGCACACCCCGCCCCGGGAAACAGCGUGGCCACGCCGUUAAACCCCCCACUUCUGAAA
rnacentral:misc_RNA from 1 species